AUUGAACGCUGGCGGCAGGCCUAACACAUGCAAGUCGAACGAGUGGCGGACGGGUGAGUAAUGUCUGGGAAACUGCCCGAUGGAGGGGGAUAACUAAUGGAAACGGUAGCUAAUACCGCAUACCAUCGGAUGUGCCCAGCUGGGAUUAGCUAGUAGGUGGGGUAACGGCUCACCUAGGCGACGAGCCCUAGCUGGUGUGAGAGGAUGACCAGCCACACUGGAACUGAGCAACGGUCCAUCCUCGUACGGGGGGCAGCAGGGGGGAAAAUGGCACAAUGGGCGCAAGCCUGAUGCAGCCAGGCCGCGUGUAUGAAGAAGGCCUUCGGGUUUUAAAGUACUUUCAGCGAGGAGGCGUUACUCGCAGAAGAAGCACCGGCUAACUCCGUGCCAGCAGCCGCGGUAAUUC
rnacentral:rRNA from 1 species